AGCGAACGCCGGCGGCAGGCCUAACACAUGCAAGUCGAGCGGCAGCACGGGUGCUUGUACCUGGUGGCGAGCGGCGGACGGGUGAGUAAUGCCUAGGAAUCUGCCUGGUAGUGGGGGAUAACGCUCGGAAACGGACGCUAAUACCGCAUACGUCCUACGGGAGAAAGCAGGGGACCUUCGGGCCUUGCGCUAUCAGAUGA
rnacentral:rRNA from 1 species